rnacentral:rRNA from 1 species
CACCUGUUCCCAUACCGAACACAGAAGUUAAGCUCAGUAGCGCCAAAAGUAGUUGGAGGAUCGCCUCCUGCGAGGAUAGGACAUCGCGAUGCA